CUAAACACAGCAUGCCCCUACCCCAGUUGGAUCCCAGCCCAAGGGGCGGAGGAAACAGGGACCACACCCCCGCGGGCACGCAGCCUCAUUGGCCAAUCGCCGCUACUGCAGCUCUGCUCUGUUCUUUGAUUGGUUUUAGUGGUGACGCCCCCUCCCGAAUGCCUCGCUCGGAUUGGCUAUUUCUUGGUUCGGACUGGAUGGAGACCAGAGGAGGACAAGAGACUUCUAUGCGGUAUGGAGGGACGAUUUGGGUGACAUCUGAGACGCAGCCGCACUUCAACAAGCGUCCGGGCUCCAGGAACAUGGCGGCGGCCUCUGUGGUGUCGAUGCUGCUGGUGGCGACUGAGAGGAACCAGUGGCAGUCAGUCCAGAGCCCGCUGCUGCUGCUGCCGCUGCCGCUGCCGAGGCAACGAUCCAAAAGGUAGUUCUGGCACUUGGAUACUACUAUGUUGGAGCAACUUGUCAUGCCUGCAUUGUGUGGAACCAGUGUUCAAAAUAAAAUGCAAAAACUUCAGGCUUGUGGAGGAGGGAGCACACGAUGUCCUGGUACUCCAGGGAGGCCAUUUGAUAUGUUAAAUAGAAUAUAUCAUUGUAAGUAUUGCCAUAUUUUUCCUAGGGCAUAUUUUAACCCGUGAUAUUUGGGUUAUGGGAGGGAAAAUAAUUAUCCUAAUCGUUUAAGCCAGUUGCCAUGCAUGAAUAUCUAGAGGUGAUACUAAUACUUUUCUUUAAUAGGCUUUAUUUUUUAGAACAUUUUUAGAUUUAUAGGAAGAUUGAGAAGAGAGUUCCCAGCUUCCUAUAGUGUUAACAGCUUACAUUAGUAUGGCACAUUUGUUAAAAUUAAUGAACCAACACUGACACAUUAUUAUGAACUAAAGUCCAGAAUUUAUUCAGGUUUCCUUAGUUUUCGCCUAAUGCUCUUUUUCUAUUCCAGGAUCCCAAUCAGGAUACCACGUGACAUUUAAUUGUCAUGCCUCCUUAAGCUCUUCUUGGCUGUAACAGUUAUUCAAAUAUUUCCUUUUUUUUGAUGACCUUCACCAUUUUUAAAAAAUUUAUUUAUUUUAUUUAUUUAUUUUUGGCUGCAUUGGGUCUUCAUUGCUACGUGUGGGCUUUCUCUAGUUGUGGCGAGCAUGGGCUACUCUUUGUUGCGGUGUAUGGACUUCUCAUUGUGGCGGCUUCUCUUGUUGUGGAACAUGGGCUCUAGGCAUGUGGGCUUCAGUAGUUGUGGCACACGGGCUCAGUAGUUGUGGCUCGCGGGCUUUAGAGUGCAGACUCAGUAGUUGUGACGCACGGGCUUAGUUGCUCUGCGGUAUGUGGGAUCUUCCUGGACCAGGGCUCGAACCCAUGUCCCUGCAUUAGCAGGUGGAUUCUUAACCACUGUGCCACCAGGGAAGCCUGACCUUCACCAUUUUGAGAAGCACUGGUCAGAUAUUUAGUAGGAUGCACUUGUGUUGGAAUUUGUCUGAUGUUUUUCUCAAGAUAAGACUGUAGUUAUGGGUGUUGGGGAGGAAGACCACAGAGGUAAAGUAACAUUUUCAUCUCAUUCUAUUCUAUCUAUUCUAUCUCAUUCUAUUUCAUCUCAUUCUACCUCACCUGGCUGAGGUAGUUUGUCAGGUUUCUUCACAUAAACUUAUUCUUCCCCCCUCUCCUUCUGUACUGUAGUCUCUGGAAGGAAGUCUCUAUGCACAACCCACUCUUAAGUAAGACUUUUUUUUUCGCUUUCCAAAAUGGAUCAAGAUGCUUAUUUUGGAUGAAGCCAGUAAAAAUGUUGAGCCAAAGGAUUAAAGGUCAAAUCCACGAGAUUUACCAGAAAUCAAACACAAGGACUCAGGUGUGCACGUGAUUUUUCUGCAGCUGGCAGGUUGGGUUCAUUGUUACAAUAUAGCUGUAAAGUGCUAUAUUGUCCUUUCCUCUGCCGAAAGCAAUUGUGUCCUACAAUCUCUGUCUAGCUCAGUUCUGUAGUAAGACAGGGACGCUUGGUCUCAAACAUUAUUUCUCUAAGUAUUAUUAUGAAAACUGUUAUAAUUGAUAUGUCAACAUAGUCAUUGUCUCUUUUUUAAGGUUGUGUUGCUUUCUGCCUUAGUGCCAAUUGAUAUGCUGAAGACCUCAAAAAGUUCCUGAGAAAUCCAUUUCAAAUUCUGGUGAAGAAAGAAGAGCUGACCUCUGAAAAGAAUUGGCAGUGGGAGUCAAUUUGGGAGGAAGGCUGUGGCCUUAAACAUUGAAGAAAAGAAGAAGAUUCUUUGUGACACUGAGCCUUUCUACCAUACUACACUGGAGGAAAUGCCAAUGAAUGUGGAUGACCUAAUUUAAUUCCUGGGAUGAAAUGGUUUUGAAUGUAGUGCUUGCUGUUGGUGAAUAGGCAAUCACAAGGUGCAUCAUGCUUCUUUUGGGGGAAAUAUUUGAAGUUUUGUCUCAAUGCUCGUAACAGAUCAAAAAUAUAGAUUUUGAUAGCAAAGCAACUUCAGCCAUGAGCUCAUGUGAGGAAAGUCAUUGGCUUUAUCCUCUUUAGAAUUAGACUGUUGGGGUAGCUAUAAAAGAUGGGCUUGUACCCAAUCAAAAAAUGGGCAGAAGACCUAAAUAUACAUUUCUCCAAAGAAGACAUACAGAUGGCCAACAGGCAAAUGAAAAAAGUCUCAACAUGGCUAAUUAUCAGAGAUAUGCAAAUCAAAACUACAAUGAGAUACUGCCUCACACCAGUCAGAAUAGCCAUUAUUAAAAAGUCUACAAAUAGCAAAUGCUGGAGAGGGUGUGGAGAAGAGGGAACCCUCUUACACUGUUGGUGGAAAUGUAAAUUGGUGCAGCCACUAUGAAGAACAGUAUGGAGGUUCCUCAAGAAACUAAAAAUAGAAUUACCAUAUGAUCCAGCAAUCCCACUCCUGGGCAUAUAUCCAGACAAAACUAUAAUUCAAAAAGAUACAUGCACCCCUAUGGUCAUAGCAGCACUAUUCACAAUAGCCAAGACAUGGAAACCACCUAAAUGUCCACCUAGAGAUGAAUGGAUAAAGAAGAUGUGGUACAUAUAAUACAAUGGAAUACUACUCAGCCAUAAAAAAGAAUGAAAUAAUGCCAUUUGCAGCAACAUGGAUGGAACUGGAGGUUAUCAUACUAAGUGAAGAAGUCAGAAAGAGAAAGAAAAAUACCAUAUGAUAUCACUUAUAUGUGGAAUCUAAAAUAUGACACAAAUGAACCUACCUACGAAACAGAAACAGACUCACAGACAUAGAGAACAGACCUGUGUUUGCCAAGGCAGUGGGGGUGGGGAGAGGAGAGAUGGAUUGGGAGGUUGGGGUUAGCAGAUGCAAACUAUUGUAUACAGGAUGGAUAAACAAUGAGGUCCUACUGUAUAGCACAGGGAACUAUAUUCAACACCCUGUGAUAAAACAUAUUGGAAAAGACUAUGAAAAAGAAUACAUAUUUAUGUAUAACUGAAUCACUUUGCUGUAGAGCAGAAAUUAACUCAACAUUGUAAAUCAACUAUACUUCAAUUUAAGAAAAAGAUGGGGUUGUAAAUCUUAGAAUUUUAUCUCCUAGUUCUCUACACAUGGUUAUAUUGAGUGUUCACUAUCAUUUAAUAAUAUACUUGUUGACUGAAAGAUACGUGCUGUAUAAAAACAGCCAAUUAUAUUAAACUAGUAUAUCUGCUGUUAUUGUGUUAGCCAUUAGACUGAAUGGAACUAACUUUAAAAUGAUUUUUUAAGAAAAUAUUUGAAUUUAUUUUGUUUGGUAUCGUUUUUAUUCAGUAAGGCAUUUUAUUAGUGGUAAGUGUAAACUAGAGUCUUUUGCUAAACACCAGCAACAAUCAUGUCCUACAGUUAAAUCUCAGAAAAAUUGCUGUAUUGUAUAUUGAAUUUUCAAUAAAUUAAAAUGACGUAUUUUUUCUUUAAA